rnacentral:tRNA from 1 species
AGGGAGACCUAAUUCAGGUAAAAGACGAAAAAAAAGUAGUCGCUACCAAGAAUCAAUCCCAAAAGGUCGGAGCGAGGCGAAAUUGGCUUUCAAACUAGGUUCUGGGUUCAAACAAGACCUGAAUCAGGAACAAGGGCUAUUAGCUCAGGUGGUUAGAGCGCACCCCUGAUAAGGGUGAGGUCCCUGGUUCGAGUCCAGGAUGGCCCACCUGCACAGGUGGCAAAAACAAGAGAAGCGAGGAAUCAGCACCUUAUCUUACUUAUAUAGUAAGAGAGAAUGCUGGCUCUGAGUAAAGAGUCCAGAGGAACCUUGAAAACUGCAUAGAGCUAGGUGAAAAAGCCAAAAAAGAAGACCGCAA